GGAACAGGCCGGGCCCCGCUGGCGCCUCCCCGGCUGCGUUCUUACUUGUAGCUCGGGAUUAGCCCACUCCGUCCCAGAAUGUCUUGGAUUGGACGAUACUUUGAAGAUCAUCCAGUUCGAAACCCCUGCGGAGGGCGGAGUCACCUUUCACUAGUCCAGGUACUGGAAGGCUGCAGUGAGGUCUCUCCAGAGCCUUUUCUUUUCCAGGCUGGACAAUCCCAGCUCUUCGCCUGUCAAGAAGCUUAUGUAAAGCACCUGCUCCAGACUGUCCAGAGAUGAUGCACUGGAGUCCUUGAGUUUGGCUGAAACUGAAAGCAGCAAAAAGACCAUCUUGGAAACAGGAGAUGGAGUUUCUUUCAGAGAAACUGCGUAUCAUACACCGGAAAAAUUGCUGGAAAAAUGAAACAGAAGCGGGAAUGGCUGUCACCAUCACAUCAUCUACCUCAGCCUUGUCAUGGUGCUGCCACUGCCAGUAAGAGGCCACAAGCUCUGCAUUAUGUGAGGCUCUGCCAGGCUUAGCCUGGGCUUGUCUUGGCCUGCCAGGAGCUGUUGUAGCUCGUUUUGCUAUUAAUGACUAGGUGAUUGCUACCAACAUUGUCUUGGGCAUGGGCAUAGUGGAUUCAGCAAAUGGGCAGCACGGUGAUGUGAAGACUGGAGCCUCUGCCAGAUGGGGAGAGGCUGAGAGAGCUGCGACAUUGGAAGGUCAGACAUUAGAAAAUUUACCUCACUGAACUACACAUUAUUUGAGUAUAACCAUUAGCAUCAUUGUAACUGGACAAUCAAUACUGAUUGGAUUGCUAGAA